UUCAGCAGAUUCAACAUCAACUAAACUUGAUGUGUUUCAAGAUAUCUGCAAUGAUAACAGUCUACUGGACGACAUAGUCGUGUCCAUAGGUCCCUAUAGAGUUUCAAAACUGGAUAUCCUGACGAUAGCACCAAGGCUUCCGAAAGAAACCGAAGACCAAAUGAGAGACAAAAUAGAGAAAGAGAUGAGAUGGAUGGUUGGCUGGGUCAAUGAUCAGAUAAUAAAUGCCUUCCUGUAUGUGCUGUGUCAAGGACGAGAGGUGGGUGGAAGGAUUUUUAACCUACAAGGCAAUUUAGAAAUAACAACAAUACAAGAUGUCGACUCGUUUGUUCAAAGAAUAUACAAUAUGACUGAAUGUUGUGUUUAUGUAUACAAUGAC